GACGAACGCUGGCGGCGUGCUUAACACAUGCAAGUCGAACGGAAAGGCCCUGCUUUUGUGGGGUGCUCGAGUGGCGAACGGGUGAGUAACACGUGAGUAACCUGCCCUUGACUUUGGGAUAACUUCAGGAAACUGGGGCUAAUACCGGAUAGGAGCUCCUGCUGCAUGGUGGGGGUUGGAAAGUUUCGGCGGUUGGGGAUGGACUCGCGGCUUAUCAGCUUGUUGGUGGGGUAGUGGCUUACCAAGGCUUUGACGGGUAGCCGGCCUGAGAGGGUGACCAGCCACAUUGGGACUGAGAUACGGCGCAGACUCCUACGGGAGGCAGCAGUGGGGAAUAUUGCACAAUGGGCGGAAGCCUGAUGCAGCAACGCCGCGUGCGGGAUGACGGCCUUCGGGUUGUAAACCGCUUUCGCCUGUGACGAAGCGUGAGUGACGGUAAUGGGUAAAGAAGCACCGGCUAACUACGUG
rnacentral:rRNA from 1 species